GAAAUUUAGGAAUAGAACCAGAACAAGUUGCACUGUGAUGGAUGUGUGCAAACAAGCAAGCUCUACGUUUGGAAGUGUUUUUGGACAACUGUCAUAUGUCAGCUGUGUUCAAGAACUGGGAGACACAUGGAAGAAGGGUGGAACACCAAUGGAGGGACAAGCAGAGACAGACAGAAUUACAACAAAGAAGUGCAGUGUGACUGGUGAGGGAGGUGAGAUUUGAAGAAAUGUUUAUUACUUUUGUUCCUGUUUGAAGCUGAAUUGUGCUGAGUUGGUAUGGCCUACAUACUCUGAAACAAAAGUACUGCCUCAUGUGGCAGUAGUGUCUAAUUUGGUCUAGCAUCAUCACUCAAACUCUGACAAAAAUGUAUUUUGUUUUAAUAAUAAAUGCAUGAUUAAUGUUCUUGGUUUGGUCAUUAACUAAUCACAAAAAUGUGCUGAAGUGGACUAGCUGCUCUGUUUGUUAUGGGAGUUUAUGUACCUUUCUUUGAGGUCACUGUUAAAAAGAGGAAAUUGGGGCUUGUGUGUUCAGCCCACUAUGAGUAGUAUCCCAGUCCAUGUUGUUGCAAACAAAUCACCUUUUGGCUCAGUACAGUAUUUUUGCAAAGCAGACCUUUCUCCAUGAUUAAAUUAACACUACUUUCACCCUUUUGAAGCUUUCUGUAGUUCUUGCUUGUGUCAGAGGAUUUCGACAUUGUAUUACUGUCCCAAAAGCGACUGGUGUAGCAGUUAUGAAUGCCAUAUCAACUUCAGCACCAGUAACAAGGUAGGCACAUCAGCAAGGUACGCACAGACACACGUCAUGCUUAUUUACCUUAUAAGGAAGGUAAAUGACACUCAACUCCUUCAUGUUCCUGGGACCCAAACAACUUGCAUAUUUCUGCAUUUCAUUAAAGUCAGCUCCGGACCUGCACUACAGGUGAGUCCUCUCACAAAGGUGGUAGGACUGUUUAUGCUACUAAAUCCCAGAUGUGUUUGUUGCUGCUGUGCAUUUGAGUGCAUUGUUAUAGAAGGAAUGAAGACACAGUGUGGAAUGGUUUUGAGAGGUCAGCAUAGUUUUAUUAUUUUAGAAAAUAGAUAUUGCUUGUGGUGGCUGACAUGAUGAUAAACUUAAAGCAGCUUAUUAUUACUUAGAGUGUGGUUUAUUCAAUAAGAAACAAACUUUUCAAUUAAGAUUUUUUUUUAAAAGGCAUUAUCAACAAUUAAUUGAAUUGUACUUAAAAGUAUUGAACUGAAAUAAUGUAAUAAAAUAAAAGUAGUGAGGUUAUGAAAAUAACUGUUUUGGUAUAAACAGAUGCAGCUUCUUGGAAAGCUCAAAGGCCAAAAUUAGUUAUGACAAUAAAAUAUUACAAAUUUCAGAUUAGGUAUUGAGAGACUAUGAUCUGGCCUUGUCUGGCUUUAAAAAGUGCAAUAUAAGAGAUUGAUGGACGAAGAAAAAGAGCAGGAAAAUGAAAUUUCAGGAACUGCUAUUGUAGGAUGGGGGUUAAGCAAUUUGUAGAUAGCAGUGUAUCCCUCUCAAGAUUCAGAGCCAUGUGAUUAAAGUAGUUUGUAAUUGUCCGAGAAGAUAUUUCUUCUAGUCACUUCAUUUGUACUCUGCUGAACCAUUGCUGCUGGAACUCACUGUAAUGUUUCCAAAUUUUGAGCCAAUUCAAAUGAUCCUCCCCCACCACAUGUUUGUAGGUUGGGUUUUUUUGUGCCUUUCCAUUCUCCUUAAACUAAUCCAGGGUACCCGCAGAUGAUAUUUAGUCCUGCUUUGCUGAUGAAUUUAUAGCUUCCCAUGUUACAACUGCUUUUAAACUAUAAUAUUUUAGUUUUAUCCUUUACCUUGGGAAUGGCAGAAUGCUUCUUACUGGGAGAAGAAACUGUGUUGCCUGCUGUGACAGGUAUCAAUUGUCUCUGUGUUUUAAACUAAUGAAAUAAACUACCUUUGUUUUAUGAUAAAUAAAGUGUAUUUCUGUAUUA